rnacentral:rRNA from 1 species
UACAGAGGGGGCAAGCGUUAUUCGGAAUUAUUGGGCGUAAAGGGCGCGUAGGCGGCCUGGCAAGUGGAAGGUGAAAUCCCUCGGCUUAACCGAGGAACUGCCUCCCAAACUGCUUGGCUUGAGACCGGGAGAGGUGAGUGGAAUUCCCAGUGUAGCGGUGAAAUGCGUAGAUAUUGGGAGGAACACCAGUGGCGAAGGCGACUUCCUGGCCUGUUCUUGACGCUGAGGCGCGAAAGCUAGGGGAGCAAACGGG